ACACUGGUGUGUGGAAUGUUUUUAGAUUUUGUGCACCGAACCAUGUUUAAAAAGGCUCUUUCUAUGUCAAAAUUAAAAGAUGUCACUCACAAACAAGUGGCCCAAGUACCAUGUUAGGACCCUGCAUUUGUAGCCCGGUUAUUCCUGAUUUGUUAUGUUUAAUAGAUAACACUUGUCUGUGAUGGAGUGGCUUGUACUACCCAGGGCUCCUUGAACCCUGUGCCUACUGGAUUAGGCUCCAGCUCAUCGCCACCCUCAAAGGAUAAAGCAGAUACUGAAGAUUGAUGGAGGGAGAGAUAGUGCUUGUUAAGCUCUACUUAUCUGUCAAUGAUGCCUCUUCCAACUUUACCACAACAGUCAUUCAUCCUUGGAGCAAGUGGAGCAAAAGGCUUACGAGACCUGAGUCCAAAUGCUGCUGCUUGAGUGAAGGCACACCAGCCAGGAAUAAAUUGACUAAAUUCAUUCCUAAAUCUGUUGAUGAAAGACGUUGGAGGGCUUCACGGCGCAGGAUGGAAAAAGCCACCCUUCCUGUUGGCAACAGCUCCUGGAGGGGCAGAACAGGGGCUGGUGGUCAAGAUUCUCCGACGCAAUCGACUUUGGACUCACGACGAGCUCCACAGCUCCUUACAGGAGACGCCGCCGCUCUCAGUGGAACAGGAGGAAUGCUACAGCUCUCAGUGAGACGAGAGAGUGCAAGCCCUGGCAGGGUGGUGCGAAUUGUGAAUCACCAUCCAAGGAUUCCCAGUUACAAUGUCUGACAGACCCCAUCUCCUGGUGACAAUAUAGACACAGACCUGGACAGCACUCUUCCAAACUUGUCCCAUAAUUGAAGUUGAAAGGAUGUUCUUCACUGCUCAGCUUCCCAGCCCCUCACCAGAAAGUGCCAGGUUGGACUUUUUGAAGAAAAUUAUCCUCUUUCUUUCCAAAACCCCAUGAGGGCCAGAGCUUCUUUUUGUUACAUUACCAGAGCAAGAACUCCAGCACAGCAGCCUACCAGUCUGGUACUCUGAGGGAUCAGGAGCUCCACAGGGGGACACUGGGCAAAGAAGAACUAAGGCAGGAGAAUGGGCUCGUUUUGUAAGUCAGCAUUUUUGUUUAAUAAUCUUGCUAAAGAAAAUAAAUCGUACUCUUAACAUGAAACACCAUGUGGCCUAUAUGAAGACUUCAAGAGUCCGGAGGGUACAGAGAAGCAACUGAGAAUUCUUACCGCUGAACUUGGAAUCAGUGGUGGUCUGUCACAUAUCACAGAGUUUGUCCACGGAUAUAUGGUAGUCAGUUCAGUGAGUGGAGAAAUAAAUGUUCAUUCAAUGACAAAAACCUCAAUGAAAUUAUUCUUUUCCAGAGGAUGAGUAUUGGGGCACCCAACAAGCACUUCCAAAAUCCUGUACAUAUUUAAGUUUAAAAUAUUGAAACUUGUGUCAGACUUUCAUAAAACAACCUUGAAGCAUAAUUAGCUGAACGUAGUCUUAAAAAACAAACUCAUCUCCUGGGAUAUACUGUAGGAAUCCUAAUCCCAGGUAUCCUUCACAUCAAUAAGAGUCAACAAUUGCAGAUUGAAUAAGGCGUACUUUGAAGACAAUAGGUGUCUUACAAAUAAGAUGCCUGGGACCAACGUACUGGUCUUUAGACUUAGUGUUGCUGUAAAAAUCAUAUUUUUAACACAAUAAACAGGACACUUCAUUAAUCAUAUAUUCUUGAAUGUGCUAGUUGCAGAAUUUUGAACGGAAAGUACUAUUGACAUCCAUGACAUCGAUAAUGUUCUUAUAGCCCACUGUAAUAAAUGAACUUUAUUAUAGUUGUUUAAAUUUGAAUGUUAUACAAAUGUAGAAUUUCUACCUUCCUAGUACCAAUAGUAGUAAGAUGCCUGAGCCAUCAGUAAAAUGUUGAUGGCAUGCUGCAGUCACAAGCACAAAAACAAAUGUUCUGCUUUUGGUUUUACUUAAAACUUUGAAUUUUGUUUAUGUGCUGAAGUUUGUCUGUAAAAAGUGUGUUUUUUUAUUGCCAGCUAUAAAGUCUUCUAGCUUCUUCACUUGAAUUCAGGGACAUUUACCUGAAGCACAUUCAGCGUCUGUUUACUGCACAAGCAGUGUAAGUACUGAGAAAAAGGUCUCACUGUGUGUUUAGAGUAUUGAGUUAAAAAGUGACAUUUGAGGGGCACUUUACAAAACUCGCUCCGUGAAAGAUCUUCUGUAUCACCUAAAGAGCCUUUGUCACUCAUUGGAAACCUGUCACCUUACACUGCGAUACUGCAGGGGACUGUGUGACAGGUCAGAAUUAAUGAGAAGAAUAUGACAGCGUGAAAGCUACAGAAAAAGGGUGGAAUGGAGAAGCUGCUUUUGUCUCUUUCAGAUAAAUCCUUUCAUGGCUAGGGCUCUAUACCUGCUGCAGUGUCAGCUACAAAGACCCUGAAAUGGGGAUAAAAGAACAGCGUGUCACCAUAGCGGGGUACAUGGACUACCAGUGGUCUGCUCAUGCAAUUGAUGACCCUCUAGGCGCCUGCAUGCAGGGGGAAAGAUAUUGAAGGAUACCGGGCGUAUGGAGGAAUAAACUCCAGGUUGGCUGUUAAAGAUGAACAAUAGAGCACUCAUGUACGGUGAAUGUUUUUUUUUCUGUGCACCCAUUUUCUUUCAGAUGCAAAACCCAAGUAACACCAGAAAGGAUGACUUUCCUGUCUGUCAAGCCCUUGGAGGUCAGUGGCUGGGGAGCCUCCUCUCUGAGUUCUUCUGGCCAUCCUGUCCCACCAGCAUCAUGAAGGCCAGAAUGUUUAGCCUGAGAGACAGCGCUUGGAAGGGAAGGCAGACUCGUGCUUCAUCCUCACCCAAUUGAAGAGACAUCCCCAUCUUUUGUGCCUCUGCAGAAAUACAGGAGUAAAAACAUAAACAUAAAAAUGUUUGUGUUGAACUAGAGGAGUCAACUUGUGAAAACAAACUCGGGUGUUUAUGUUGACAUGUCAUUAAGAUCUUCUAGACGAUGUAGGGAAGCAAAAAUGACACAAUGUUUGGAUGUAUAGGUAAAGUGUAGCAUUUAAAUCAAGGGAUGUUAAAUUAAAAUUAUACAGUGUAGUGUUAAGGCCAUGUUUAGAAUAUUGUGCUACACUUCUGGUUACCAUAUAGACUAAAUAACAUUGAAUAUAGAAAAGCUAUUGCUGCUCUGGAAUCAGUCCAGAUGCAUUUCAAGGCUUAAAGCAAUAUCCUACAUCCUGACAAGCUGGAAGAAUAGAACUGUUUUAGUCUUGAACAGAGAAGACUAUGAGUUCACCAAGUAUUAAUCCUCAAAGUCACUGAGAAAGUCAGCCCAGUGGAUUUCUUCAAAAUAAUCAUUGAAAGAUUAACCAAGAACACAAGUAGAAACUACAUGGGCAUGCAUUUAAAAUCAAGAAAAGGAGGCAUAUCUUUCUCCAAAGGGUUGAGGGAGUGUGGAACAACCAACUCAGAUAUCAAGCUCCGCUGGCUUCCUUCAAGAAAAAAAACUGGAUGAGAUCCUCAGUUCUGUUAACUACUAACAACCAAAAACAGUAUGUAAUUUAAGAGUCAUCAACAAUUUAUUCAAAGUCCCUGCUAGAGUUCUCUAAUAUUAAAACAUCUUCAAAUCUUAGUAAUAAGACUGACUUUGGUUGAGAGGAAACCAAACAUCAUUUAGUAGUCUGUAAUUCAGAAUCUUCAAACCUGAUCUCACCAACUCAAGAAAAAACUACAUAUGAGCAGCUAGCAUGAAAUCCUGGUAGCUAAUACAACACACUUGUACAGUAUCUAAUUUACUCUGUUCUUCUCAUUAAUAUCACCAAAUUCUCUUUUCACAUCCAUAAAGCUACAAGGCUACUUUUAGUACUAGAAAAACAUCUAUCACUGUUUAAAAAAGGAGGAAUGUCGAUAGAAUAGGGUGGCAUGGUGGUGGAGUGGUUAUCCUUGCUGAAUUGCAGGACUGUAGCCAUGGGUUCAGUUCCUGAGGUGCUAUCUGUAUGGAGUUUGUUUGUUCUCGAUGUGUUAAUGUGGGUUUGCUCUGGGUGCUUCAGUUUCCUUCCACAGCCCAAAGACGUACUGGAAGGUUCAUUGGCUCCUGGGAAAAUUGGCAUGGUGAGAGUUUGUGUGUCCUGCAGUGGACUGGCAUGCCGUUCACCAGAGUGUGCUGUAUCCUGCUUUGCGCCCGUUAUUUUGCUGGGAUAGGUUGUACUGUAAGUCACCCGUGACUCUGUAUUAGAUAAAGCAGGUAGAAGAUGGAUAAAUGUCAAUACAAUUGUACUUCUGUGUAAAUAAGGACACACACUGAGUGAAAUAAGAUGAUCAAUGAAAAAUGGUAAUCUCACCUUUAUUUGUCUUGUUAAAUACUGUCUUUUAAUAAUGUUUUUCUCAGACUGAAGUCCAGUUUCUUUGUAUUGUAGUUGGAAAGCCAUUUUUGAAUUUCCGGUGUAUUUGAAAGUGCUUAUGCAUACAUAUACAUGCAUAUUCCGAGUAUAAUAUUUUAAAAAUAAUCAAAUGGCUCACUUUCCGAACAGAGCAUAUUAUCAUCCUCAGCAAAUUGGAUGAGUUGGAAAUCCCCGCAUUUAAAUCAGUACUUCAAACAUGAGACCAAUUUAUAAUAGUCAUAAAGGCCUGGGAAAAAAAAAAAGUGAUGUCUUGUUUUUUGUUGAUAUAACAAUUUGUCUAAUGCAAGAGAGGAAUGCAGAUCUCCAAAGCUGGAAAAUCAGAGGCUCUUUAUGUUUUCGUAUCUCAAUUAAGUGAUGAGCACAGUGAGAAGGAACAUCUCUGUGGGCUUUUCGUCAUUUGUGCUGUUUCCAAACACUGCAUGACAUUUCUGCUUGACACAGUCUACUGGCUGCCCAAUCUGUGAGUAAGAUCACCAGCAGAACAUCCUUAAUUCUUUUUCUGUUCUAAUUGCAAAAUUGUUUUUUUUGUGCUCCAAACCUGGCUGAUGCUGGACAAUAUCGGUGUUCUUUUCUGGCAUUAGAUUCUGUAGUCUUAAACGUUUUGUAUUAAGGAAUCAAGGUAUUCCCAGAGCUACAGUGGGGCUACCUAAAAUUGCAACAACAAAAAAAAGAGAUGAAGGUGUUGCACUCUAGUUGUGAACACUUGUCUUUGAAACCCAAACAACACUUCAUGUAUAUUUGGGGAUACACAGUAUGAAUACAUAAAAUAAGAGAUUAAGAAAGCUUUUGGAUGAUGAGAGAUAAUACAACUCUUCUUGUUUUUUUUCCUGAAUUUGUUUAUCUAUUUUCUGAACGAUCAUAGGGAGUAAUUUUCACUAAAAUCAUUGGGUACUUAUUUUUCUAUUUGCAUUUCAUUAAAAAUAUAUUUUCUUCUCCUAAUCUACUUUCAAAAGCGCGUAUACGUGACAUUUUUUGUGAACUAAGCAAAGCUUCUUUCAAAUUUAUGAUUCUACCCGUCACUGAUAGCUGAUAGCCACUACUUAGCUGUCUGCAGAUGGCAGGUUUAAGUUACUGAGUUUGAACACAGAUGUGCUGCUUUGUCGGCAAUAGAUGAUUGUGUUCAGCAGAAAAACUGGGGUCUUGCCUGGGUGUGGAGUUUAAGGUUGUUUAUAAGCAUAUGUACAGUCUGUCAAAGAAAUGCCACAAUGAAAGGAAAAUGAAUGUUUACGGAAAUAACCAAGAAGCUAUGGUGCUUCUGACAGAAUCAGAAACAACAACAACAAAAAAUAUGAAUCAAUGCAGAAAAAUAUCUGUUAAAAAGCAAAAUGAAAUUUUAUGAUAUCAAGAGACAAACUUUAGCAGAAUCUUUGCUUUCUCCAUGUGUGUGCAGCUCUCCUGUCACUGUUGGAUGAUUACUCAAAUACAAAUAAACCAGAAGGAAUAUUUUUAUGGGAAAUUUUGUGACAUCUUUUUGCUUAAUUUUAUUAUCUGAAUAUUUUUUAUAGGAAAAAAAGGGAAAACAGCAAGAGUCAUUAGAAUCCGAAGGGAGAUGUUGAUUUUAAUGGAUAAAUCGCACUGUGUCUAUUUUCACCAGCUGAAAACUCCACAGAGUGAGUCUAUCAGCUUGGCACCUGCUCUGGAAGCUUCUUGAUGAAGCAAAGGUUGUCUUCAUUAAGAGCAUUAAUAUUCAUGACGCAUGGUAAUUUUGACACAGAAAAGGUCUCUGUAACCUUUUCUUGUGUGAGAAUUUUUUACUUCUCAAGGAAAUUACAGUCCAGCAAUGACUUAAUUAAUGCCUGGUUUCUUCGGUGGAAUUUGAGUAGCUGUCAGUUUGGGUCCGCGCUACCUGUCAAACAGAGAGAAGACUUGGGAGAGAUGGAUUGAAGGAGGGGAGGAGUGGAGGAGAACAGCAGAGGCCCCCUGUAAAGUAAAAACAGACAAGAAGCUCAGAACACCUCCCACACUCAUUCUGUCAAAUAUCCCCAUUUUCUUUCUUUCCCUCUCCAUAUUUUAAGAAUCAAAUAAACAUUAUCAUACAGUAUGUUAUGAAACUUAAAAUGUACAUCUUAGGGGCUUCAUAGUGGCACAUUGGUUAACAUCUUUGCCUUGCAACUCUGGGGCCUUGGGUUAAAUUUGUAGGCUGCUGUCUGCUUGACGUUCUUCCUGUGUUCACCUGUGUUUCCUCUGGGUGCUCCAGUUUCCUCCCACAGUCCAAAACACA